rnacentral:rRNA from 1 species
AUGAACGCUAGCUACAGGCUUAACACAUGCCAGUCGAGGGGCAGCGGUAUCGAAAGCUUGCUUUCGGUAGCCGGCGACCGGCGCACGGGUGAGUAACGCGUAUCGAACCUGCCUCAUACUCGGGAAUAGCCUUGCGAAAGUAAGAUUAAUGCCCGGUGUUUUCAGAGUCCCGCAUGAGGCUUUGAGCAAAGAUUUAUCGGUAUGAGAUGGCGAUGCGUCCCAUUAGCUUGUUGGCGGGGUAACGGCCCACCAAGGCAUCGAUGGGUAGGGGUUCUGAGAGGAGGGUCCCCCAGAUUGGAACUGAGACACGGUCCAAACUCCUACGGGAGGCAGCAGUGAGGAAGAUUGGUCAAUGGGCGGAAGCCUGAACCAGCCAAGUAGCGUGCAGGAAGACGGCCCUCCGGGUUGUAAACUGCUUUUAGUUGGGAAUAAAACGGGGCUCGUGAGCCCCCUUGCAUGUACCAUCAGAAAAAGGACCGGCUAAUUCCGUG